GGUGCGAGCGUUAAUCGGAAUUACUGGGCGUAAAGCGUGCGCAGGCGGUUUUGUAAGACAGGCGUGAAAUCCCCGAGCUCAACUUGGGAAUGGCGCUUGUGACUGCAAGGCUAGAGUAUGUCAGAGGGGGGUAGAAUUCCACGUGUAGCAGUGAAAUGCGUAGAGAUGUGGAGGAAUACCGAUGGCGAAGGCAGCCCCCUGGGACGUCACUGACGCUCAUGCACGAAAGCGUGGGGAGCAAACAGGAUUAGAUACCCUGGUAGUCCACGCCCUAAACGAUGUCAACUAGUUGUUGGGGAUUCAUUUCUUCAGUAACGUAGCUAACGCGUGAAGUUGACCGCCUGGGGAGUACGGUCGCAAGAUUAAAACUCAAAGGAAUUGACGGGGACCCGCACAAGCGGUGGAUGAUGUUGGAUUAAUUCGAUGCAACCCGAAAAAACCUUACCUACCCUUGACAUGCCACUAACGAACCAGAAAUGCAUUAGGUGCCCGAAAGGGGAAAAUUGGACACAGGUUCUGCAUGGCUGUCGUCACUCCUGUU
rnacentral:rRNA from 1 species